AAUUUCACAGAUGGUGGAGGCUCCUUCAACAAACGAGCCAUCAAGACCUGAUCCAAGGUCUGUUGAAAUGAAUGAAAAAACCUGGACUUCAGGAUCUUCCUCUUCAUCAUCGGAUGAACACAGGCAGCUGCACCAGCCCUUGGGAGCAGAGACAGUUGCAGGGAAUUGGCAGCACACACAGAACUGGAGCUCACGCAGAACUCGGCGGAGAAGCGCCCAGACGUCGCGAUUGUCGCCAAGAAAUCACAGAUGAACCAGCUCAAAACAGAAUUUUGAAGGGUUUUUCUUCUCUUUAGAGAUGUAUCUUACUCACACUGAGCUGGAGAAAAGAGAGAGGGGGAUUUCUGAUCUGAAGGAUGUGCUGAAAAUCUGUGUUGCCUAAUUCUGGAACCUGAAAUAGGACCCCGAUGAAUCGGUAAAAUUUCAGUCCUGGGGUGAAGUUAAAUGUGAUAAAAUGUGUACAACUACUAAACCUCAUUACUUCCUCCAUAUGUUUUCCUUAGAUGUCCCAGCUACCAACUUGAAAUUGCUGAGAGUCUCCAUCUUGAGGCUGAG
rnacentral:lncRNA from 12 species